rnacentral:sRNA from 12 species
ACCCUGCCGCAGGGGCGCUAGCGUUUGAUCGGUCAAGCUAGCGCAAGGCGGCUGCGGAUAAGCCGGGAGUGCCGCACUCCAGAAAAACCCCGGCAGCG